rnacentral:tRNA from 1 species
GCCCGAGUGGCGAAACGGCAGACGCAGCGGACUCAAAAUCCGCCGAGAGCGAUCUCAUGUGGGUUCGAUUCCCACCUCGGGCU